ensembl:misc_RNA Metazoa_SRP Metazoan signal recognition particle RNA
GCUGUGGUGGGCACAUGACUGUAGUACCAGCUACUUGGGAGGCUGAGGCAAGAGGAUUGUCUGAGUCCAGGAGUUCUGGGCUAUAAUGUGCUAUGCUGAUUGGGCGUCUGCCCUAAGUGUGGCCCCAGUAUUGUGACCUCCUAGGAGUGGGGGACCACCAGGUUGCCUAAGGAGGGGUGAACUGGCCCAGUUUGGAAAUGGAGCAGGUCAAAACUCCCGUGCUGCUCAGUAGUGGGAUUGCACUUGUGAAUAGCCACUGCACUGCAGCCUGGGCAACAUAGUGAGACCCCAUCUCUU